AGUGGCUAACGGGUGAGUAAUUCGUGACCAACCUGCCCCAUGCUCCAGAAUAGCUCUUGGAAACGGGUGGUAAUGCUGGAUGCUCCAACUUGACGCAUGUCUUGUUGGGAAAGUGUUUAGUGGCAUGGGAUGGGGUCGCGUCCUAUCAGCUUGUAGGCGGGGUAAUGGCCCACCUAGGCUUCGACGGGUAACCGGCCCGAGAGGGCGGACGGCCACAUUGGGACUGAGAUACGGCCCAGACUCCUACGGGAGGCAGCAGCC
rnacentral:rRNA from 1 species